CAACUACUCCCUCUGUCCCAAAUUUCUUGUCUUAGAUUUGUCUAGAUACGGAUGUAUCAAAUACGGAUACAUCCGUAUAUAGACAAAUCUAAGACAAGAAUUUUGGGACGGAGGGAGUACUUU
rfam:Triticum aestivum genome assembly, contig: Triticum_aestivum_CS42_TGACv1_scaffold_620563_7DL